UGUUGCUGGCCCUCUCGGGGGGCAUGUGCACACCCGCCAUCUCCAUCUCUCCACCUGUGCACCUCUUGUAGACCUGGAAUACACUUUCCGAGGCAACUCGGUCGGGAGGAAUGCUGUAGCUUUCUUUGGACUUCCAAGCCUACGUUUUUCAUAUACCCGUAGUAUGUAACAGAAUGUAUCAUUUGGGCCUCAGUGCCUAUAAACCAUAUACAACUUUCAGCACGGAUCUCUUGGCUCUCGCAUCGAUGAAGAACGCAGCGAAAUGCGAUAAGUAAUGUGAAUUGCAGAAUUCAGUGAAUCAUCGAAUCUUUGAACGCACCUUGCGCUCCUUGGUAUUCCGAGGAGCAUGCCUGUUUGAGUGUCAUUUAAUUCUCAACCUUAUUAGCUUUUGCUGAUAAUGGCUUGGAUGUGGGGGGUUAUAUUUUGCUGGCUUCUUUCGCAGAGGUCAGCUCCCCUGAAAUGCAUUAGCUGGUGCCCCCGCGUGGACUGUCUAUUUGGUGUGAUAAUUAUCUACGGCCGUGGAUGUCUGCAAUUGGUUUUGGCACUGCUUCUAA
rnacentral:rRNA from 1 species